rnacentral:rRNA from 1 species
AGUAAUUCCGAUUAACGCUUGCACCCUUCGUAUUACCGCGGCUGCUGGCACGAAGUUAGCCGGUGCUUAUUCUGUUGGUAACGUCAAAACAGUAAGGUAUUAACUUACUGCCCUUCCUCCCAACUUAAAGUGCUUUACAAUCCGAAGACCUUCUUCACACACGCGGCAUGGCUGGAUCAGGCUUUCGCCCAUUGUCCAAUAUUCCCCACUGCUGCCUCCCGUAGGAGUCUGGACCGUGUCUCAGUUCCAGUGUGACUGAUCAUCCUCUCAGACCAGUUACGGAUCGUCGCCUUGGUAGGCCUUUACCCCACCAACUAGCUAAUCCGACCUAGGCUCAUCUGAUAGCGUGAGGUCCGAAGAUCCCCCACUUUCUCCCUCAGGACGUAUGCGGUAUUAGCGCCCGUUUCCGGACGUUAUCCCCCACUACCAGGCAGAUUCCUAGGCAUUACUCACCCGUCCGCCGCUGAAUCCAGGAGCAAGCUCCCUUCAUCCGCUCGACUUGCAUGUGUUAGGCCUGCCGCCAGCGUUCAAUCUGAGCCAGGAUCAAACCCUA